GGGCCCGCACAAGCGGUGGAUUAUGUGGUUUAAUUCGAUGAUACGCGAGGAACCUUACCAAGGCUUAAAUGGGAAAUGACAGGUUUAGAAAUAGACUUUUCUUCGGACAUUUUUCAAGGUGCUGCAUGGUUGUCGUCAGCUCGUGCCGUGAGGUGUUAGGUUAAGUCCUGCAACGAGCGCAACCCCUGUCACUAGUUGCCAUCAUUAAGUUGGGGACUCUAGUGAGACUGCCUACGCAAGUAGAGAGGAAGGUGGGGAUGACGUCAAAUCAUCACGGCCCUUACGCCUUGGGCCACACACGUAAUACAAUGGCCGGUACAGAGGGCAGCUACACAGCGAUGUGAUGCAAAUCUCGAAAGCCGGUCUCAGUUCGGAUUGGAGUCUGCAACUCGACUCUAUGAAGCUGGAAUCGCUAGUAAUCGCGCAUCAGCCAUGGCGCGGUGAAUACGUUCCCGGGCCUU
rnacentral:rRNA from 1 species